rnacentral:rRNA from 1 species
UGGCGGCAGGCCUAACACAUGCAAGUCGAGCGGCAGCGGGAAAGUAGCUUGCUAGAGUUGCCGGCGAUUUUCGGACGGGUGAGUAAUGCCUGGGGAUCUGCCCAGUCGAGGGGGAUAACUACUGGAAACGGUAGCUAAUACCGCAUACGCCCUACGGGGGAAAGCAGGGGACCUUCGGGCCUUGCGCGAUUGGAUGAACCCAGGUGGGAUUAGCUAGUUGGUGAGGUAAUGGCUCACCAAGGCGACGAUCCCUAGCUUAGUCUGAGAGGAUGAUCAGCCACCCUAGAACUGAGACACGGUCCAGACUCUUACGGGAGGCAGCAGUGGGGAAUAUUGCACAAUGGGGGAAACCCUGAUGCAGCCAUGCCGCGUGUGUGAAGAAGGCCUUCGGAAAAAAAAACACUUUCAGCGAGGAGGAAAGGUUGGUAGCUAAUAACUGCCAGCUGUGACGUUACUCGCAGAAGAAGCACCGGCUAACUCCGUGCCAGCAGCCGCGGUAAUACGGAGGGUGCAAGCGUUAAUCGGAAUUACUGGGCGUAAAGCGCACGCAGGCGGUUGGAUAAGUUAGGUGUGAAAGCCCCGGGCUCAACCUGGGAAUUGCAUUUAAAACUGUCCGGCUAGAGUCUUGUAGAGGGGGGUAGAAUUCCAGGUGUAGCGGUGAAAUGCGUAGAGAUCUGGAGGAAUACCGGUGGCGAAGGCGGCCCCCUGGACAAAGACUGACGCUCAGGUGUGAAAGCGUGGGAGCAAACAGGAUUAGAUACCCUGGUAGUCCACGCCGUAAA